rnacentral:rRNA from 1 species
UACGUAGGGUGCAAGCGUUUAAUCGGAAUUACUGGGCGUAAAGCGUGCGCAGGCGGUUUUGUAAGUUUUGUCGUGAAAGCCCCGGGCUCAACCUGGGAAUUGCGAUGAAGACUGCAAGGCUUGAAUCUGGCAGAGGGGGGUAGAAUUCCACGUGUAGCAGUGAAAUGCGUAGAGAUGUGGAGGAACACCGAUGGCGAAGGCAGCCCCCUGGGUCAAGAUUGACGCUCAUGCACGAAAGCGUGGGGAGCAAACAGG